GACGAACGCUGGCGGCGUGCCUAAUACAUGCAAGUCGAGCGGACAGAAUGGGAGCUUGCUCUUGUUCGGUCAGCGGCGGACGGGUGAGUAACACGUGGGCAACCUGCCCGCAAGACCGGGAUAACUCCGGGAAACCGGAGCUAAUACCGGAUAACAUCGAAGACCGCAUGGUCUUUGGUUGAAAGGCGGCUCAAGCUGCCACUUGCGGAUGGUCCCGCGCGCCUUUAGCUAGUGGGGAAGGUAACGGCUAACCAAGGCAACGAUGCGUAGCCGCCCUGAGGGGGGAACCGGCAACAUUGGAACGGGAACACGCUCAAGACUCCUAGGGAGGGCGCCGUAGGGAAUUCUCCGCAAAGGGCGGAAGGCUGACGGGGCGACCCCGGGUGGGCGAAGAAGGGCUUCGGGUCGUAAAGCUCCGGUGUGAGGGACGAAAGAGCGCCGUUUGAAGAAGGCGGCGCGGUGACGGUACCUCACGAGGAAGCCCCGGCUAACUACGUG
rnacentral:rRNA from 1 species